rnacentral:rRNA from 1 species
ACGGCGGACGGGUGAGUAACGCGUGGGUAACCUACCCUGUACACACGGAUAACAUACCGAAAGGUAUGCUAAUACGGGAUAAUAUAUUUGAGAGGCAUCUUUUGAAUAUCAAAGGUGAGCCAGUACAGGAUGGACCCGCGUCUGAUUAGCUAGUUGGUAAGGUAACGGCUUACCAAGGCGACGAUCAGUAGCCGACCUGAGAGGGUGAUCGGCCACAUUGGAACUGAGACACGGUCCAA